GGUGGCGUGUCCGAGCGGCCGAAGGUACUCGCCUCGAAAGCGAGUGUCGUGUAACAACGACCGGGGGUUCAAAUCCCUCCGCCACCGC
rnacentral:tRNA from 1 species